rnacentral:lncRNA from 10 species
GUUUGGAAGUCACAAACUCAUUUAACCCAUGUAGCCUGAGCUGUUUCCCGUUUGCUGCACCAUAUUUUAUGAUCAGACUUGGCUCCACAACUGGAACAGGCCACAGCUUGCGAAAGAGCCCAUGAGUCAAUUCAACAGAGAUGAGCUGGGGAAGAGAGAGGAAAUAAGAAUCCUACCCAUGAUUCAAGUCACUGUUUAAAUGCUGCCUACAUCUUCAUUUAUGCUUCAACGGGAUCUCAUGAUUUUGUCUGAUUCUAAAUCUUUCUGCUCCAUGGUAACCUUCAAAAUCAACAGCCCUGUGAUUAUGGUGAAACCAGAAUUCCGGCAGCCACUGGAGGGGAGCAGAACAGGCUUGGAUAUCAUUCAAAGCCUCAUUCCCAGAGAAUUGUCAUUAUUUGAACUGUUUAGUGGUUUUCUGGAAGACCCCACUUGCAAGAAUGUCUUUAUUUGACCUGACCUGCUCAGUGCUAAAAAUCUAGGGACAUUUGUUGCGCUCAAUUAAAAACCAUUGUUUAACUUUGCAGUUUCCAGGAUGCUGAAUAACAGUUGGAGCAACAACAGGCUAGCUAAAAAGGCUUAAAAGGAAAAGCUAGGGAAUAAGAUGUCCAUCAGAGCUUUGAAAAGCUCCAGUGUAUUAAUGGGAUCUAGAUGGCCGUGAACAUGCAUCAGAUUGUACACAUGUCCAGGUCUGUCUGCAAGCUCAGGAAGCAUCUGAGGAGGGCCUGCAGCCUCUCUUCCAGCUGACCUCAAGGCUCUACACAAG